AGACCCUUCAAGGCUCCUCCUCUUCCUCCUCCUUCUGCUUCGGAGCUGGGCGGGCAGAUCCCGUGGGCGCCUUUCUCCUUGCUUUCCCAGAGGCCUGGCCCCCUCGAGCUCCUGGCAGCCUGGCACUGAGCAGGUCUGCCCCCCGGCCCCGGCAAGCCCUCCCUCACAGGGCCCCAGGCCGUGAGAACCAGCCCAGGUGCCCCAGAAAUGCUCACAAACGGGCGAGUUGGGGCAAGAGCGAAGGCAAGUUCGGCAGCGCAGACCCCCUCGUUAGCAGGACAGAGCGAGCAACGUCAGGAGAGGUACCAGCGUUCGCGGAUGGAGGGCCAGCCGGAAGGAGACAGGCAGCGGCCUGGUCGUCUCCCCCUGAGUCUUUGCCCGACUUGUGAUUACAUACUUACCUGUUUGUUUACUUGUUCUUGCUGUGUCCCACACUAGAGUGUUAGCCCUAGGAGGGCAGGGACUGUGUCUUCCCAGUUCACACACAGCAACGUCCCAGGCCUAGCCUAGUUCCUGGCACAUAGUAGGUGCUCAAUAAAUAUUUGUGGACUAAA